GUAAGUAAAAGCAAAGAGUGUUGUUUAACAUUUUUUUCCUAAAAAACCAUUCACAUCUUAGAGAGACUAGUUUUGGUUUCUAUUUCCUCCUAGUGAGUUGAAAGUUCACUAUGCAUUUCCCUCCUCUGAUGUUUGUGUGCUGAAUAACAAGUCAGCCCUGGGGUGUGUGAGUUGUAUGUUUGCCUGUUUUCUCUACAGUCUGAGCUCCUUAAGGGCAACAGCUGAAUCUUACAUAUUUUUUCUUCUCUCCAGGGCCUUAUAGAUAGUAAGCUUUCAUAAAAAAUUGUGAGGUGAAAACUGAAUAAAGAUACUUCUUCCUAACCCUACUUUUAUAAGUUAAAAUUCUUCAUUUUCUGGCUGUUUUGUCUACAGCACUCUAAACAUCCUAUAUAGCCUUAAUAAUACUGUUUAUACUACAACCAGGGAGAACCUUGAAACUUAGGAGCUUAGGCUCAGUGAAAGAAGCCAGUCACAAAGGACCACAUAGUGUAUGGUUCCAUUUAUAUGAAAUAGACAGAAAAUAGAUUAAUUGUUGCCUAGGGCUGAGGAAGACAGGGGGAAAUGGUGUUGACUGCUAAAGGGUAUGAAGUUUCUUUUUGGGGUGAUGAAAAAUGUUCUAAAAUUGUAUUAUGGUGAUGGUUGCAUAACUCUGUAAAUAUACACUGAACAGUACUCUUUGAAUGUUAUAGUAUGUAAACUACAUACCAAUAAACCUGUUAAAAAUGAAUAAACUAUGGUCUUGGGUGAAACAGAGAGAAAACGAGAGGUCUUGGCUUGGAUUCCUGACUUUAUACUGAUGUGGAAAAAAGAGGAGAAUGAAUCUUAGAAUUUUACAGACGCUGUAAGAAGGUGCUUUGUUGUGGAUGUGAAGAUGGAGACGGAAUGAGAGAUGGUAUUCUUAGGGGAUGACAAACAAAAUUGAGGCAAGUGAGGGAGAAAUAAAAAUUGAAGCCAAAGAACUUGUAGUGGACACAGCCUGAGGUGACCCCCCCACGACCCAGCUUGUGUAAUUCCCUCCUCGUGAAUGUGAGUAGGAGCCGUGACUUACUUCUAACCAAUAAAAUAUGGCGAAGGUGAUGGGAUGUCACUCCCACAAUUGUGUUUUCUUCUGUAAGACUUCAUCUUAGUAGACUGGAGGGAGAGAUGCUCCGGCUGGCCUUGAAGUAGCAAGCUGCUCUGAUGUGGUUUCCCAUGGAGAGAGUCACACGGCUGGGCACUGCAGGGGGCCUCCAGGACCAGUAGGCAGCCUCCAGCAACAGCCAGUAAGAACCAGGGGCCCUCACUCCUACAACCACAAGGAACUGAAUUCUGCCAACAACCACAUGAGCUCAGAAGAGGACUCUUACCUCCGCAAGGAACGCAGCCCGGCCAACACCUCACGAGCAGCCUUGUGAGA
rnacentral:lncRNA from 1 species